AUGGCACAAUUCGAGGGCCUAGUUCUCAGCCCAGCUGCUCCCACAAUCUGGAGGAAUUGGGCUCCCCCAAAAUGCAAGGUCUUCACGUGGCUUAUCAUCCAAAACCGUGUGUGGACGGCGGAUCGAUUACAACGGCGAGGAUGGCCAAACUGUGGACUUUGUCCCCUAUGCAAACAAGUCCAAGAGUCCGCCUCCCAUCUUCUAUUCCAGUGUAGGUUCACUACCCGCGUCUGGAAUGAGGUGGUCGCCUGGCUCGGCAUGCAUGACCACUCGCCACUGAUUUGGCGCCAUGAAGACACGGUUCAAGAUUGGUGGCUUAAGACGAUAAACACCGGAGGGCACAUCAAGAAAGCCAUUGCCUCUGUUCUGAUGCUGGUCAUGUGGGAAAUGUGAAAGGAGCGGAACGCAAGAGUCUUUCGCAACACGGCUUCACCGACCACCAUUAUUGUUGCCAAGAUCAAAGAGGAGGCCCAUCUUUGGGCGUUGGCGGGAGCCAAACACCUGAGUGCGCUUAUGUCGCGAGAAUAG
rnacentral:rRNA from 1 species